GGCUGGGUACAGUGUACUUUAUUGAUGGUCCAUGACAAGGCAUGACUCCCCAAACCCCUCUCCUUCUUCAGGGGAUCUGGGAUGGAAAUGGUGUGGAGAUUGGGAGAUUCUCAGUGUGUUGGGGGAUGAUUUGGGGCAAGAAUUCCCCAACAGCUAAGGGCCUCUCUCUUCAUCUUGCUCUUGCUGAGGCUGGCAGCCAGGGGCUGUUACUCCUUGGAGGCCAUAUAUACCAUAAGGUCCACCACCCAGGUGCUGUAGCCAAAUUCAUUGUCAUACCAGGAAAUGAGGUUGACAAAGUGGUCAAAGUGGUCACUGAGAGCGACGCCAGCCCCAGCAUCAAAGGUGGAAGAGUGAAUGUCUCUGUUAAAGUCACAGGAGACAACCUGGUCCUCAGUGUAGCCCAGGAUGCCCUUGAGGGGGCCCUCUGAUACCUGCUUCACCACCUUCUUGAUGUCAUCGUAUAUGGCAUCUUUCUCCAGGUGGCAAGU
rnacentral:lncRNA from 1 species